GAUGAACGCUGGCGGCGUGCUUAACACAUGCAAGUCGAACGGAAAGGCUCCUGCUUGCAGGGGUACUCGAGUGGCGAACGGGUGAGUAACACGUGGGUGAUCUGCCCUGCACUUCGGGAUAAGCCUGGGAAACUGGGUCUAAUACCGGAUAGGACGAUGGGUUGGAUGCCAUUGUGGAAAGUUUUUCGGUGGGGGAUGAGCUCGCGGCCUAUCAGCUUGUUGGUGGGGUAAUGGCCUACCAAGGCGUCGACGGGUAGCCGGCCUGAGAGGGUGUACGGCCACAUUGGGACUGAGAUACGGCCCAGACUCCUACGGGAGGCAGCAGUGGGGAAUAUUGCACAAUGGGCGGAAGCCUGAUGCAGCGACGCCGCGUGGGGGAUGACGGCCUUCGGGUUGUAAACUCCUUUCGCUAGGGACGAAGCGCAAGUGACGGUACCUGGAGAAGAAGCACCGGCUAACUACGUG
rnacentral:rRNA from 1 species